GUAGGUGGCAAGCGUUGUCCGGAAUUAUUGGGCGUAAAGCGCGCGCAGGUGGUUCUUUAAGUCUGAUGUGAAAGCCCCCGGCUCGACCGGGGAGGGUCAUUGGAAACUGGGGAACUUGAGUGCAGGAGAGGAAAGUGGAAUUCCACGUGUAGCGGUGAAAUGCGUAGAUAUGUGGAGGAACACCAGUGGCGAAGGCGACUUUCUGGCCUGUAACUGACACUGAGGCGCGAAAGCGUGGGGAGCAAACAGGGAUUAGAUACCCUGGUAGUCCACGCCGUAAACGAUGAGUGCUAAGUGUUGGGGGGGUUUCCCGCCCCUCAGUGCUGCAGCUAACGCAUUAAGCACUCCGCCUGGGGAUACGGUCGCAAGACUG
rnacentral:rRNA from 1 species